AUAGUACUCCGUCCCAAAAUUCUUGUCUUAGAAUUGUCUAGAUAUGAAUGUAUCUAGUCACGUUUUUAUAUUUUGAUAUAUCUAUUUUUAGACAAAUUUAAGACAAGAAUUUUAAGACGAAGGGAGUAUAUA
rnacentral:pre_miRNA from 1 species